CGAGAUGCAAUUAAAUCGUUGUAAGUGAUAAAUCUGUUGCUUCUUAUAUGAUGUAGGAACGAUAGUCCGCGCGACAGGAGGGCGUAAAGAGAUUGAACGGGAGCGACAAUUUUCUUUUCUUCGCAAAAAGUAAUCGCGUUCCGCGGAACUUUCGGCAAUGUUACAUUAAGAGUUCGAUAUAAAAGAUAAGUCGAAUCGAAAUCGAAGUGUGUCACACAUUGUAAAGAUUUUAGUGAUUAAACUUUUCUAGUGGUUCUUCCCCCCUAGGAGUCAAGUGGUAUAACCAACAAACUUACCCCCAAAUGCGAAGUCUCUGAAUCCGCCACUGCCAACAAGUGGUAUCAGUCGACAGUCAUUGGCGGCUGCCGGCAACGAAUCGCGCGUCACCUUUGGCGCGCGAGCGGCGGCACCGACGGAAAUAAUCGAAUCGCAGUCACGGCGGUCGAGUGGGGAAAUCGCCGCAAAGUUGGCGGUACAGAGCGGCAACAGAGGGAGAAAGAGGAGGGAGACUCGCCGACUUCCUCGUAGCUUCCUCGUAAUCGUGAUCAUGAUUGUCGUCGAGUUAACCCCGGACGAUCGUUUCCACUUGUGAGCAACGUAGAACAGCAUGAUGGAAGUAGCCGGGGCUACUUCGGAAAUAACGUUACGGUUAUUGAUCUACUUGUGAGUACGUCGUGAUUCUCGCGAAAACGACGCGCAACUAUGUUCACAUCAGGAUUCAAACGAAUCAUACGUUUGCGUUGACCGGGCAUCGAUGUGUGAGGCUGCAAGUUCCCAUUGACGGUUUCGACAGAUCGUGUGAUUUCUAUGCUCACAAGUAGACGCUUGGUUUACGAGAAAGAUUCUCCGCGUCAGAUAUGGGAAAAGUGUCCAUACUAUUCGAUCCCACUGAAGUUAUGAUAAUGCUUUGACACAUCAGAAGCUAGACUCAAAGUUUCAAAUGUUCAUACUAUACGUCUAUGAAAAAGUAUGAAGUUACUAAAAACAAGAUCUAGGACAUCGCGAUCUUGAACUGAUCCGUCUGCGAGUCUUCGUCAUCGGCCGAAGUUCGUGUUUCUUCCUUCCUGGCGCUAUGACUUUAUCGUGGCGGCGCGCGUUUGUUCAGGUUUGUCCGAGGAGGAUCCUGCAGCUGCAACUGGCGAAAUUCAAGAACAGGCGACAGCGACACCACCAUCACCACCAUUGACGAUCACGACCGACCGACGUCAUCGUCAUCGUCGUCGUCGUCGUCGUCGUCGUCGACGAGGGGGAUAGGAGGAGAUGGUGGCGGUGCUGAUGAAGUCUGACGAGGUCCGAGGGAAGAGUGAGGGUGCGGGUCUUAAGAGGCACGCGCGACCGGCCCAACCGUUGGAAGCGAGAGCAGCGGUGGUGGAACAAGACGAGGAGAAAGAGCAGAUGCCUCUGUUAUUACAGGUUUCGCCUUUCGUAACGCUACACCUUCGCUCGCGAGAGCUCCACGAAUCUUUCGGUACGCGUAUCCCUCGUAUAUCUCUCGCGGCGCGCCAUUUUGAUGCCUUUCUUCGGAAUUGACCUAGUGCCGGGCAAAUUGAAGAAACGCGAGAUAGAUUCCUCAUUCUUCGACGCGGUCCUGCGCGCUCACACAGAGGUUUUUCUUAUUUCCACGCGAUAUCUCCAAAAUUCUUUUCGCCCGUCAGUCAAUACGCGGGGGAGAAAGAAAUGUUUUGCUCCGGGAAACUCCGAUUUUGAAACUUCUCAACAGACUAUAUGUCUCGCAAACUAUAUAUCUUCAUCCAUAAACUUGGGUAAGCGUGUAUGUCUUGGAUAAUUGAAUUGAACUAAUUAAUUACACUUGAUCUUUGCCAUAGAAAUAUCAUUCGAAUUCAUACCUGCCGAGUCGACAGAACAACAAUUCUAAGUUGCCCUUCUAUCUUUCUUUCUUCAUUAUUACGUAUCACUAACAUUCUCUUCCGAGGGGAAAAUAUUUACAAGUAUAAAAGUACAAAAAGUAUCAAGAUAGAAUCUAGAGAAAAUUUAUUCUGCGAAAUAUAAGAGCGAGAUUCUAUUGUGGAUCCGAAUGGACCCUCUACUACUAUCCAUACGAUGAACGAUGUUAGAGGCGAACCGUUAAUUAGUGAACGCAGAUAUAACCUAACCCAUCAGUCUCGAUUAAAAUGCGCGGUGAUGAAAGCAACAUCGCGAUGUAAUGCGAGGUCUCGCCUUAGACUCGCUCGAUGGCGGCGUGUCGCGCACCAAUUCAACCGAUCAGCCUUGAGAUUGCCGGUAUCUGUUAAUAGAUCUAUCUCUUAGGUAUCUUUCCACGUCGCAAUAGUUCCGGUGUGUCGGGACCGGUAACUCGCUCCGGUGCGACUAGUUUUCCGUUUAAUCUCCGGCUCGUAAGCGCAGCGAUGACCGAACAAGACACGAGAAGACGCCGAGUGUUAUAUCCGACGGAUAUAAAAGGGAAAGGAAAAGGUAGGAAGGCAUCGAAAUUUAGCCAGACAAUAUAUCAAUCGCUAAAGGACCGUCCUUUGAUCCCUUCCGGCACCUACGUCAGACAUUCGAUGGUACCUGUGUGUAUCUUCAUCUUUAUCCCAGUUUCUUUUCCCCAAUAGCCAAGCACGAAUACUUGCCACGUGACCCGACCUCUUCGUCGUAUCUAUCUCGAAUCUAGAAAGUUGGGAAAUGUACGCACAGGGGCGUGAUGUCCGCCGAGGAACCGACUCCUGCGGCUUUUAGUACCUUCCGUCUACGUCUUUGACGAAAAUUUCACUUUUUGGAAAAACAUUUCUCAAAAAGAGAUUUCAUGGUUAUACAUAAUGUAUAACUGGCACAUCUGUGUGCAGGUAGUAUCAUCAAAUAAAGUGAAAAAAUUAUUUUGCAAAUAACCGUGCGUGAAUUCUUGAUAUAUUAAUGAUUGAGAAUUGACAAACGAUUACGCGCGAUGCGGUGGAAAACGAACUCUUUAUGAAUCAUACAUAAUCAAAAAAUUUGCGACGAAAACUUGGGGUAAGAAAGCGAAGGAAUCGUUGAUCCGUACCUAUCAAAUUUUCUUCUUUCCAUAAACAAACUCUGAUUCUAGAGAAGCAUACUUUCUAUAAAAUGUAGUAUACACCAAUAAUUAUAUCGACGCACGUGUGUAUAUGCGUGCGUAACAUGUUAAAAACUGUGCGGAAAUACUUAGAAUCAUGACUGUGCCGUGUUUAACGUAUCAGUAUGCCCAUCCUAUGGGUUUUUCGAGCAUUUUGACUCACUACUACAUGUACGUACUAUGCCCUUGAAAGGGUCGUACACAAUUUCUCGUCGCAGAAUAGAAGAAAGAUGACGGGAAGGAAAUAAAAAGAGGAAUGUAAAGGAGAAUUUCUAACGUAGCGGGGCGAAAGAUGUGCAUUGAAUGGUUCAGGGUUCGCGGCAUGAUGAACACGACUGAUCCUGUAUCUGGACAAAACGGAUUAUCGUCUUUAGAGUUUCGCCUAAGAAGCAGGAAUUCCUGCUUGGAACAACCAUUCAUGUAGCGGGAAAUACGCGAUGUUUAAGGCCGCUGGCUCCUCACCGCGGAACUCUUGAUUGAUGAUGUCAGGAGCGAGAGAAAGUGCAUACCCAAAAUUCUUGCAAAAUACGUUGAAAUAAAAAGAUGUCCAUGAAAUGGCAAUCGAUUAGGCACAUCUGUAAAAUAGUCCACUUGUCUUUUGUUCUAAUAAUCAAUAAAUUACUGUAAAACUGAUGUGCUAUGUUGCAAUCUACUUUUUUAACCUGUGUAAUCCUAUCACAUUAAUUUCACGAUUAUUUAUAGAUUAUUAGAGUAAAAGAAAAGUGUUUAGACUAUUUUACAAAUUUACUCGACCAAUUGCAAAUAUCAUUUUGUGAACAUAUCAUUUAAUUUCAACGUAUUUAGUAAAAAACCUUCAGCGUGAAUCUUGUUUUCCUGAUGCCAUAAAUCAAUAUGGCAAGGAAAUAGGAGCCUUAAGCACAUUUCGGUAAAACACUUUUAAGAGUUAAUGCUCGCUGAUAUUAUGCACACUCUAUUAACACUGUAUCUACCGGACCUAAUACACUUAGAAAUAUUAAGAUCUGUAUAUUAUUCUAUACAAAACUUUUUACGAUUAUGUCUAACAUAAAUGUUAUUUAUAACUACGACGUAUUAUUUGUUAUUAAGAGUGGCGCUCGAUCGUAUCUUUAUGCAAAUUUGAAUAGAUAAGGUGAAAGUACCAAAUCCCAGAAACGUAUUUAAUCUUGGACAUUUUUAUUGUUUCGACCUUUAAAUACGGAUAUUUAAACUCUAUAUAUAUUUUUUUUUAUAUUAAAUGUUUAAAUAUUCGUAUUUAACAUAUUCGCUAUCAUGAUUUAUUUAGAAGACUUCACUUUUCCCACAGCCUACUUCAUAUUUUUUUUUACAUAAUUGUGUAAAACAGAAUUAAUUUGAUAAUGUGUGAGAGUAUAGAACAUGUUGCAUCACACAUAUCACACAUAUGUAACAUUGGUAAUCAACGUUGAUGUUAAAGGCUAAAACAAUAAGAAUGUCCAGGAUUAGGUACGUAUCUGGGUAAUUGGAACUUUUACGCUAAUCGUAUCUCCGAUUGAAAUUCCGAUCGACAUUGCAUUGACAGUAACGUUGUCGGAGAUUGCGCGACUCGAACUUGUACGAAUAGCUGCCGCGGGAUUUGCUACUUAGAACGUGAUCAAUUGCGGUACCUUCCUUCUCUCGAUUUUUUGCACGUUUAUUUUUGCGAGGCGCACUUCGCGUCGUCGCGCAGGACUCGAAACGCAUGCACCAAACAUCCUGUCCGCGCCGGUCUACAGCGGCGGCGGCGGCGGCGGCGGCGGCGGCGGUGGUGGCGCCGUCGCCGUCGCGGCCGCAUCCAGCUCUCGUCCUUGUUUUUCGCCGGCAACAUCCGCGGAAUUGACGUCUUCGAGGUUAAGGCAGGCCGAUAAGACCAUGAAAAAUGGAAAAACCUGUUCCUCUUCCUGUGUCGAGGAUGAGACGGCGAUCAUUACAUGCUCGAACGCACACAGGGAGUCUUGAACGCGGAUACCCACCUCCGUUCAGGUAUCUCGAGUACCCGCGGACGAAGGAUACAAGCGGAAUCUUGAUGCGUCCGGAAGCGUGUACCGGAUUUGUUUUAUUCUCGCGUACGCGCUUUUUGCGCCUUUUGCGCUACGCGGUUGGUCGAACCAACCGAGCCGACAAUUGACCGCGACGAAUGGAGGAAGGGAAGAACAUUUUCUUGCAGUUUUCCGAAGGUGUUAGAUAAGUGAGGAUAAGAAAAGUGUGCAUCUGAAGAGUAUAUCUCUUUCUAUCUCUCUCUCUCUCUGUUUCACCUGACAGUAAUAAAUUAUAAUAUAAUAUACGGCGGCAAAACACAGCGACGCAACUAGUCAAACGUUUUAUCGAAUGUACGAAUGAAAAUGAACGGCCGGACGAUGAAUACUCGCACAUUAUACAUGUUGCAAUGAAAACGACAAAUAAUUAAUAUAUGAAUAAUACAGGGUAAUAUAUA